rnacentral:rRNA from 1 species
GACGAACGCUGGCGGCGUGCUUAACACAUGCAAGUCGAGCGGAGCGGCGAACGGGUGAGUAACGCGUGAGUAACUGCCCCCCUCUCUGGGAUAACAGUUGGAAACGGCUGCUAAUACAGGAUAGUGGGGGAUGACUCGCGUCCUAUCAGCUUGUUGGUGGGGUAGUGGACGACCAAGGCGACGACGGGUACACGGCCUGAGAGGGCGACCGGCCACAUUGGGCUGAGAUACGGCCCAAGCGACGACGGGAGGCAGCAGUGGGGAAUAUUGCACAAUGGGGGAAACCCAGAUGCAGCAGCGCCGCGUGCGGGAUGACGGCUUUCGGGUGGUAAACCGCUUUCAGCCAUGACGCGGUAGUGGCAGAAGAAGCACCGGCUAACUACGUGCCAGCAGCCGCGGUAAUAC